rnacentral:rRNA from 1 species
UGAGGAAUUUUGCGCAAUGGGGGAAACCCUGACGCAGCGACGCCGCGUGGAGGAUGAAGGCCUUCCGGUCGUAAACUCCUGUCAGAGGUGAAGAAUGCCCGCACGGGUUUGACGGUAACCUCAGAGGAAGCCCCGGCUAACUACGUGCCAGCAGCCGCGGUAAUACGUAGGGGGCAAACGUUACUCGGACUUACUGGGCGUAAAGGGUGCGUAGGCGGCUGGGAAAGUCAAGGAUGAAAUACCGUGGCUCAACUGCGGAACGGUCCUUGAAACUACUCGGCUUGAGGAUAACCGAAGAGAACGGAAGUCCCGGUGGAGCGGUGAAAUGCGUAGAUAUCGGGAGGAACACCUGAGGCGAAAGCGGUUCUCUAGACUACUCCUGACGCUGAGGCACGAAAGCUAGGGGAGCAAACGG